rnacentral:rRNA from 1 species
AGAAUCAACGCUGGCGGCGUGCCUAACACAUGCAAGUCGAACGAGAAAGUGGGAGCAAUCCACGAGUAAAGUGGCGCACGGGUGAGUAACACGUGACUAACCUACCCUGGAGUGGGGGAUAACUGAGGGAAACCUUAGCUAAUACCGCAUAAUACCCACGGGUCAAAGGAGCAAUUCGCUUCAGGAGGGGGUCGCGGCCGAUUAGGUUAGUUGGCGGGGUAAUGGCCCACCAAGACGAUGAUCGGUA